rnacentral:rRNA from 1 species
UGGGGAAUAUUGCACAAUGGGCGCAAGCCUGAUGCAGCCAUGCCGCGUGUAUGAAGAAGGCCUUCGGGUUGUAAAGUACUUUCAGUCGGGAGGAAGGUGGUAAGGUUAAUAACCUUAUCAAUUGACGUUACCGACAGAAGAAGCACCGGCUAACUCCGUGCCAGCAGCAGCGGUAAUACGGAGGGUGCAAGCGUUAAUCGGAAUUACUGGGCGUAAAGCGCACGCAGGCGGUUGAUUGAGUCAGAUGUGAAAUCCCCGGGCUUAACCCGGGAAUUGCAUCUGAUACUGGUCAGCUAGAGUCUUGUAGGGGGGGGUAGAAUUCCAUGUGUAGCGGUGAAAUGCGUAGAGAUGUGGAGGAAUACCGGUGGCGAAGGCGGCCCCCUGGACAAAGACUGACGCUCAGGUGCGAAAGCGUGGGGAGCAAACAGG